rnacentral:piRNA from 1 species
GACCAAAUGGGGACGGGGAUAGA